rnacentral:rRNA from 1 species
AGAGUUUGAUCCUGGCUCAGAUUGAACGCUGGCGGCAGGCCUAACACAUGCAAGUCGAGCGGUAGCACAGAGAGCUUGCUCUCGGGUGACGAGCGGCGGACGGGUGAGUAAUGUCUGGGAAACUGCCUGAUGGAGGGGGAUAACUACUGGAAACGGUAGCUAAUACCGCAUAACGUCGCAAGACCAAAGUGGGGGACCUUCGGGCCUCAUGCCAUCAGAUGUGCCCAGAUGGGAUUAGCUAGUAGGUGGGGUAAUGGCUCACCUAGGCGACGAUCCCUAGCUGGUCUGAGAGGAUGACCAGCCACACUGGAACUGAGACACGGUCCAGACUCCUACGGGAGGCAGCAGUGGGGAAUAUUGCACAAUGGGCGCAAGCCUGAUGCAGCCAUGCCGCGUGUAUGAAGAAGGCCUUCGGGUUGUAAAGUACUUUCAGCGAGGAGGAAGGCGUUAAGGUUAAUAACCUUAGCGAUUGACGUUACUCGCAGAAGAAGCACCGGCUAACUCCGUGCCAGCAGCCGCGGUAAUACGGAGGGUGCAAGCGUUAAUCGGAAUUACUGGGCGUAAAGCGCACGCAGGCGGUCUGUCAAGUCGGAUGUGAAAUCCCCGGGCUCAACCUGGGAACUGCAUUCGAAACUGGCAGGCUAGAGUCUUGUAGAGGGGGGUAGAAUUCCAGGUGUAGCGGUGAAAUGCGUAGAGAUCUGGAGGAAUACCGGUGGCGAAGGCGGCCCCCUGGACAAAGACUGACGCUCAGGUGCGAAAGCGUGGGGAGCAAACAGGAUUAGAUACCCUGGUAGUCCACGCCGUAAACGAUGUCGACUUGGAGGUUGUGCCCUUGAGGCGUGGCUUCCGGAGCUAACGCGUUAAGUCGACCGCCUGGGGAGUACGGCCGCAAGGUUAAAACUCAAAUGAAUUGACGGGGGCCCGCACAAGCGGUGGAGCAUGUGGUUUAAUUCGAUGCAACGCGAAGAACCUUACCUGGUCUUGACAUCCACAGAACUUUCCAGAGAUGGAUUGGUGCCUUCGGGAACUGUGAGACAGGUGCUGCAUGGCUGUCGUCAGCUCGUGUUGUGAAAUGUUGGGUUAAGUCCCGCAACGAGCGCAACCCUUAUCCUUUGUUGCCAGCGGUCCGGCCGGGAACUCAAAGGAGACUGCCAGUGAUAAACUGGAGGAAGGUGGGGAUGACGUCAAGUCAUCAUGGCCCUUACGACCAGGGCUACACACGUGCUACAAUGGCAUAUACAAAGAGAAGCGACCUCGCGAGAGCAAGCGGACCUCAUAAAGUAUGUCGUAGUCCGGAUUGGAGUCUGCAACUCGACUCCAUGAAGUCGGAAUCGCUAGUAAUCGUAGAUCAGAAUGCUACGGUGAAUACGUUCCCGGGCCUUGUACACACCGCCCGUCACACCAUGGGAGUGGGUUGCAAAAGAAGUAGGUAGCUUAACCUUCGGGAGGGCGCUUACCACUUUGUGAUUCAUGACUGGGGUGAAGUCGUAACAAGGUAACCG